rnacentral:rRNA from 1 species
CCUACGGGAGGCAGCAGUAUCGAAUAUUGGACAAUGGACGAAAGUCUGAUCCAGCCAUGCCGCGUGCAGGAUGAAAGCCCUAUGGGUUGUAAACUGCUUUUAUACAGGAAGAAACACUCCGACGUGUAGGAGCUUGACGGUACUGUAAGAAUAAGGAUCGGCUAACUCCGUGCCAGCAGCCGCGGUAAUACGGAGGAUCCAAGCGUUAUCCGGAAUCAUUGGGUUUAAAGGGUCCGCAGGCGGUCUUUUAAGUCAGAGGUGAAAGCCUACAGCUCAACUGUAGAACUGCCUUUGAUACUGAAAGACUUGAGUUAUUGUGAAGUGGUUGGAAUGUGUGGUGUAGCGGUGAAAUGCAUAGAUAUCACACAGAAUACCGAUUGCGAAGGCAGAUCACUAACAAUAUACUGACGCUCAUGGACGAAAGCGUGGCGAGCGAACAGGAUUAGAUACCCCUGGUAG